rnacentral:tRNA from 1 species
UCCUUGAUGCAGCAAGGUAGCUCGUCGGGCUCAGUUCCUUAUAAGAGCCUCGAAGGUCGUCGGUUCAAAUCCGGCUCCAGCAACCA